ACGACAUCCGCGUCUUCUCCUUGUUCACCGUCGUACGGUGCAGCACCGCCUUGUACGCUCCAUUGCUGAAAAUCUGUUGGGUGCAUAGUCGACGAGACAUAAAGAUAAGGCAAGGACGAUAAUGUUCCUUAUCAGUUUGGAAGGCGCUGUUUGGUAAAAUUUGCUAAAUUUUAGUUGCUAAAUUUUAGCAAAAGCUGUUUGGAUACUCUUGCUAAAAGGUAUUUAAUGAGCUAUAAAAAAGCCUAUCUACUCUUAUUAAAGGUGCGCAGAAGGGGGGAGACAAGCAAUAAAUGAGGAGUAUAUGUUAUCCAGCCCACCUUUUAGCAAGUUUUAGCAACAAAAAACUUGCUAAAGUGCUAAACUUUAGCAACUCAACUUUAGCAAGUUUUAGCAAAGGUGUUUAGCAAUGUGGAACCAAACACCGCCUGAGAAUGAAUUUCUGCACACCAAGGCGUGGAAAACGUGCCUCGAUCUGGUCGCCGAUGUGGACGAUGAGCGCGUCCGGCACGUACUCGACGUCGUACCAGUGGCCGUUCCGGAAGACCUGGAGCCCCUGCACGUCGUUGGGCACGAGC
rnacentral:lncRNA from 1 species